rnacentral:rRNA from 1 species
UACGUAGGGUGCAAGCGUUGUCCGGAAUUAUUGGGCGUAAAGAGCUCGUAGGCGGUUUGUCACGUCGGCCGUGAAAACUCGGGGCUCAACCCCGAGCCUGCGGUCGAUACGGGCAGACUAGAGUGCUGUAGGGGAGACUGGAAUUCCUGGUGUAGCGGUGAAAUGCGUAGAUAUCGUAAGGAAGACCAGUGGCGAAGGCGGGUCUCUGGACAGUUCCUGACGCUGAGGCACGAAGGUCAGGGGAGCAAACGGG